AUUGAACGCUGGCGGCAGGCCUAACACAUGCAAGUCGGGCGGAUGAAGGGAGCUUGCUCCUGGAUUCAGCGGCGGACGGGUGAGUAAUGCCUAGGAAUCUGCCUGGUAGUGGGGGAUAACGUCCGGAAACGGGCGCUAAUACCGCAUACGUCCUGAGGGAGAAAGUGGGGGAUCUUCGGACCUCACGCUAUCAGAUGAGCCUAGGUCGGAUUAGCUAGUUGGUGGGGUAAAGGCCUACCAAGGCGACGAUCCGUAACUGGUCUGAGAGGAUGAUCAGUCACACUGGAACUGAGACACGGUCCAGACUCCUACGGGAGGCAGCAGUGGGGAAUAUUGGACAAAGGGCGAAAGCCUGAUCCAGCCAUGCCGCGUGUGCGAAGAAGGUCUUCGGAUUGUAAAGCACUUUAAGUUGGGAGGAAGGGCAGUAAGUUAAUACCUUGCUGUUUUGACGUUACCAACAGAAUAAGCACCGGCUAACUUCGUG
rnacentral:rRNA from 1 species